rnacentral:siRNA from 1 species
GGUAUCAUGCCCCAUGGUC